rnacentral:rRNA from 1 species
UAGGCGUAAAUGAUGCGAGUUAAGUGUGGGGGCGAUCUACGAGAUGGCCCUGUGCUGUAGGGUAGCCGUUAAACUCGCUACCUGGGGAGUACGGUCGCAAGGCUGAAACUUAAAGGAAUUGGCGGGGGGAGCACCACAAGAGGUGGAGGCUGCGGUUCAAUUGGACUCAACGCCGGAAAACUCAUCGGGAGCGACAGCAGUAUGAUUGCCAGGUUGAUGACCUUGCUUGACAAGCUGAGAGGAGGUGCAUGGCGUAGUCGUGU